GAAAUGCGAUAAGUAGUGUGAAUUGCAGAAUUCAGUGAAUCAUCGAAUCUUUGAACGCACAUUGCGCCCCUUUGUAUUCCAUGGGGCAUGCCUGUUCGAGCGUCAUUUGUACCCUCAAGCUCUGCUUGGUGUUGGGUGUUUGUCCCCGUCUCCGCGCGUGGACUCGCCCCAAAGUGAUUGGCAGCCGGCGUACUGGUCCCGGAGCGCAGCACAUGUCGCGCAAACGAGUGCCUUGGUACGGCGGCGUCCAUAAGCCCCUCUCUCACGCUCUUGACCUCGGAUCAGGUAGGGAUACCCGCUGAACUUAAGC
rnacentral:misc_RNA from 1 species